UUACACCCACAGUGUCAGAAUCACUGUGAGCUUGUUGGAAACGCUGGAGCUCAGACUCAGCCAACAGCACCUGAGUCAGAAUCUGCGCAUUCCUCCUGGGAGAUUGGCCGGUACUGCAAGGGUCGCACCCCAACGUCUCUCCAACAUUCCGGGAAGUGGAGUAUGGUUUUGUUUUGUUUUCCUUCAGCUCUUACUGAUGAGGAGACAGAGAUCCCAGAGACUUGGAGUUAGUUAUAGAGUCACACUGACUGGAGGCGAUAAGUGAGGAUUUCAGCCCCUGGACAGAGUCACUUCAAAACCCCAACGGAAGCGAUGAUGUGGGGGAGGGGCCACGAGCAGCUUCUCGCUAAGCUUUUGAUUCCGGUUGUCUGACCAGCUUCCUCCCCGAGCUGCCCACGGAAGGACAUCUAAAGCUCCCAUCUAAAGAAUAGGGUGCUAGGAGUUCUUUCCCCUUAGUUCUUUGGGGACAUUUCAGGGUGUGUGUCUGUGCAGGACAGUCCUUAGGUGGGCUCUGAGAGUAGCCCUUUGCACUCUGAGGCAACCGCCAGACCAUAGUGAGUUGAGGACCAACUUGGGAGCCUGCAGGGCCAGCCUGGCUCUCAGGUAGCCAAGGGCAUUCUCCAUCUGCCCAGGGACAAGGAAGGCCUGGCCAUCGGCCCCUCCCUCAAGAAGCUCUCUGCCCGCUGCCUCUCUGCGUGCAGCGCUGGCCUACAGCGCAUGGCUCAUUCUGACUCCCUCAAUCUUCCCUAUUAACUGAGAUUGCAGGUUCAGAGCACAAACAUCGCCGCCUGUCACUGCCGUAGCACGUCAGCCAUCAGCUGGGAAUGGUCUAGUCUCCUUCAAUCCAUCAUGCAGGGUUUCCAAGACUCUCACUCCAAGACCGCUCAGUGGGCCCUUCCCCCACCCAGGCCCAUGGGAUCCACCCGCAGUUUCUUUCCAGAGAGAAACAGGAAGAACGCCAAAGAACUCUAGAGCCAACCAUCCAUCGCACCUGCAUCAAGUGCCUCAGAGACACUGAGACAGGAUGGGGCUGUCACCUGAUAUCAUAGGAAGAGGUAGCCAGGCUCAUUUCUAUCUUCUAGAGGAAGAAUGACAUCUUUUAAUGGACUCCCUGAGAAAGCAGACAGCAGCCCUGCCUCAGAAACCCAGAGUAGGCUGUGGAUCCCACAGUUCUGGGAAUGAGGUGGGAAACAGGGAUGACCUCAGAUUCUUCCAGAGGCUCCAGCACCAUGCUCACUUGCACCCCAGCCUCCACCAUAGAAGAACUUUACAGGUGAAGUGAAGGAAGAGACCCUUCUCUGGAGCCACUUCCCUCAGGUGUUGGGCAGAUCAAAGCCAAGGCCUACAGCUGAGCAGCUGAACAGGAUGGGUGGUAGGUGUUUUGCAAUCCAAUCUCCAGGAUCCUGUGGGGGAACGCAGGCCCUGAUGGUUAGCACUGUCCAUUUGGUCACCUAGGAGACAGACGUCUCAGCAGGCUUGGGAAGGAUAGGCUAGAUGAGAGUGAGCAUUGCUGGUGGGAAGACCCAGCUUAACUGUCCAUGGUACCAUUCCGUGAGCUGGGGUCCUGGGAUGAAUAAAACGUGUGUGUGGAUGGCUACUGUUCAUUGGAAAGUUGACUGCAUCAGAAUUAGUGCAAAAACACCCACCACCCAUCCAGUGCAGAAAUGGAGAGCAUAUCCGUGAGAGAUAUAUUGCUGGGUCUGAAGUGGGUGAGUCCACUUCUACUCCAGACCUUUAAGGUAGGAAGACAUAGACCUUUAAUCUUGUUCCUCCUCCUCCUCCCCCUCCCC